UCCGGUAAGAUCACCGAAGUUAAGCAACGUCGGGCCUGGUCAGUACCUACUUGGGUGACCGCUUGGGAAUACCAGAUGUUGUAA